CCUACGGGAGGCAGCAGGGAGGAAUAUUGGGCAAUGGACGAGAGUCUGAACCAGCCAAGGAGCGUGAAGGAUGACUGCCCGAUGGGUUGUAAACUUCUGUUAUAGGGGAAUAAAAUGUUCCACGUGGGGGAUUUUGUAUGUACCAUAUGAAUAAGGAUCGGCUAACUCCGUGCCAGCAGCCGCGGUAAUACGGAGGAUCCGAGCGUUAUCCGGAUUUAUUGGGGUUAAAGGGAGCGUAGGUGGAUUGUUAAGUCAGUUGUGAAAGUUUGCGGCUCAACCGUAAAAUUGCAGUUGAAACUGGCAGUCUUGCGUACAGUAGAGGUGGGCUGCAUUCGUGGUGUAGCGGU
rnacentral:rRNA from 1 species